CCUGGAUGUGACUGAAUAAUCUGGAGGUCCCACCCGCUCCCCAAAGCCCCAAGAAGCUAGGGUUCAGGACCUGGGGCAGCAGCAGGGUGGCAGACGAAGCACCACAGACUGGGGAUUCCUGCAGAGCCACAGCCCUGUCUUCCUGGCCUCUGUUGUCACCCUGGCCACUGAGGUCCACUGGGGACUCCUGCAGGCUUCGAGGCUCUCAGAAAGCUCUUUAAGGCCUUACCGCCUUCAUGACUCCCCAAGAGGAAGCUGGCCCCCAGCCACCACUCUGGUCCUCCCUGCGAUCACAUGAGGUGUGUCCACUUAGCUAACAUCCGCCUCAACCGAGAUCAGAGACGGAAGACGAGGGCUCAAGUGUGGCCAGGAACAGACCCAUGUCAGCGACAC